rnacentral:rRNA from 1 species
CUACGGGUGGCUGCAGUGGGGAAUAUUGGACAAUGGGCGCAAGCCUGAUCCAGCCAUGCCGCGUGUGUGAAGAAGGCCUUUUGGCUGUAAAGCACUUUAAGCGAGGAGGAGGCUACCUGUAUUAAUACUAUAGGUUAGUGGACGUUACUCGCAGAAUAAGCACCGGCUAACUCUGUGCCAGCAGCCGCGGUAAUACAGAGGGUGCGAGCGUUAAUCGGAAUUACUGGGCGUAAAGCGCGCGUAGGCGGUUUGUUAAGUCGGAUGUGAAAUCCCCGGGCUCAACCUGGGAAUUGCAUUCGAUACUGGCAAGCUAGAGUAUGGGAGAGGAAGGUAGAAUUCCAGGUGUAGCGGUGAAAUGCGUAGAGAUCUGGAGGAAUACCGAUGGCGAAGGCAGCCUUCUGGCCUAAUACUGACGCUGAGGUGCGAAAGCAUGGAGAGCAAACAGGAUUAGAUACCCCCGUAGUC